rnacentral:rRNA from 1 species
AUUCACAAUGUGUUUCAUGUCUCUCAGUUGAAGCAACAUGUUCCUGACCACACUCCAGUGUUCCAGUCCCUUCCAAAACUGCCUCACCUGGAUACUGAAGAAUUGUCUCCUACUGAGAUUCUGGAUCGGCGUUUGGUCAAGCGGGGCAAUGCUGCCUUGUUACAAGUUCUAGUGCGUUGGGCGACCCUACCAGUCAAGUUUGCUACCUGGGAAGACUACACCGCACUUCAGAAGAAAUUUCCGGAGGCAGCAGUUUGGGGACAGCCUGCUUCUCAAGGAGAGGGCACUGUCAUUGCCCCUACUCUGUCAGGCGAGACAGAGUCAAGUAUUCAGCGAUCACAGAAGGCGGCAAGCAACGGUGACUGUGGCUGA